CCUACGGGAGGCUGCAGUGAGGAAUAUUGGUCAAUGGACGUAAGUCUGAACCAGCCAUGCCGCGUGCAGGAAGACGGCUCUAUGAGUUGUAAACUGCUUUUGUACGAGGGUAAACGCAGAUACGUGUAUCUGUCUGAAAGUAUCGUACGAAUAAGGAUCGGCUAACUCCGUGGCAGCAGCCGCGGUAAUACGGAGGAUUCAAGCGUUAGCCGGAUUUAUUGGGUUUAAAGGGUUCGUAGGCGGUCGGAUAAGUUAGAGGUGAAAUCCCGAGGCUCAACUUCGGAAUUGCCUUUGAUACUGUCCGACUAGAGAGUACGUGCGGUAGGCGGAAUGUAUGGUGUAGCGGUGAAAUGCUUAGAGAUCAUACAGAACACCGAUUGCGAAGGCAGCUUACCAAGCUACUUCUGACGUUGAGGCACGAAAGCGUGGGGAGCAAACAGGAUUAGAUACCCCAGUAGUC
rnacentral:rRNA from 1 species